rnacentral:rRNA from 1 species
GACGAACGCUGGCGGCGUGCUUAACACAUGCAAGUCGAGCGGACGGAGGAACUUCGGUUCCGAAGUUAGCGGCGGACGGGUGAGUAACGCGUGAACAAUCUGUCCCAGACAGGGGGAUAACAGUCAGAAAUGGCUGCUAAUACCGCAUAAGCGCACAGUACCGCAUGGUACAGUGUGAAAAACUCCGGUGGUAUGAGAUGGACCCGCGUCUGAUUAGCUAGUUGGUGGGGUAACGGCCUACCAAGGCGACGAUCAGUAGCCGACCUGAGAGGGUGACCGGCCACAUUGGGACUGAGACACGGCCCAA